AACGAACGCUGGCGGCAUGCCUAACACAUGCAAGUCGAACGAGACCUUCGGGUCUAGUGGCGCACGGGUGCGUAACGCGUGGGAACCUGCCCUUAGGUUCGGAAUAACUCCCCGAAAGGGGUGCUAAUACCGGAUAAUGUCUUCGGACCAAAGAUUUAUCGACUUUGGAUGGGCCCGCGUUGGAUUAGCCGGUUGGUAGGGUAAAAGCCUACCAAGGCGACGAUCCAUAGCUGGUCUGAGAGGAUGAGCAGCCACACUGGGACUGAGACACGGCCCAGACUCCUGCGGGAGGGAGGAGUGGGGAAUAUUGGAAAAUGGGCGAAAGGCUGAUCCAGCAAGGCCGGGUAAGUGAUGAAGGCCUUAGAGUUGUAAAGCUCUUUUACCCGGGAUGAUAAUGACAGUACCGGGAGAAUAAGCACCGGCUAACUCCGUG
rnacentral:rRNA from 1 species